rnacentral:rRNA from 1 species
AGGAUAAACGCUGGCGGCGUGCCUAACACAUGCAAGUCGCACGAGAAAGGGGAGCAAUCCCUGAGUACAGUGGCGCACGGGUGAGUAACACGUGAAUAAUCUACCUCCGAGUGGGGAAUAACUGAGAGAAAUCUUAGCUAAUACCGCAUAAUACCCACGGGUCAAAGCAGUAAUGCGCUUGGAGAGGAGUUCGCGGCAGAUUAGUUAGUUGGCGGGGUAAUGGCCCACCAAGACGAUGAUCUGUAUCCGGCCUGAGAGGGCGCACGGACACACUGGAACUGAAACACGGUCCAGACUCCUACGGGAGGCAGCAGUGGGGAAUUUUGCGCAAGUGGGGGAACCCUGACGCAGCAACGCCGCGUGGAGGAUGAAGCCCCUUGGGGUGUAAACUCCUUUCGAUCGGGAAGAUAAUGACGGUACCGAUAUAAGAGCCCGGCUAACUUCGCGCAGCAGCCGC